rnacentral:rRNA from 1 species
AUUGAACGCUGGCGGCAUGCUUUACACAUGCAAGUCGAACGGUAACAGGUUAAGCUGACGAGUGGCGAACGGGUGAGUAAUGCAUCGGAACGUGCCCGGUCGUGGGGGAUAACGCAGCGAAAGCUGCGCUAAUACCGCAUACGAUCUGAGGAUGAAAGCGGGGGACCGUAAGGCAUCGCGCGAUCGGAGCGGCCGAUGUCAGAUUAGGUAGUUGGUGGGGUAAAGGCUCACCAAGCCAACGAUCUGUAGCUGGUCUGAGAGGACGACCAGCACAACUGGGACUGAGACACGGCCCAGACUACGACGGGAGGCAGCAGUGGGGAAUUUUGGACAAUGGGCGCAAGCCUGAUCCAGCAAUGCCGCGUGCAGGAAGAAGGCCUUCGAGUUGUAAACUGCUUUUGUACGGAGCGAAAAGGUCUUCCCUAAUACGGGAGGCUGAUGACGGUACCGUAAGAAGAAGCACCGGCUAACUACGUGCCAGCCGCCGCGGUAAUAC